rnacentral:rRNA from 1 species
UGAGGAAUAUUGGUCAAUGGGCGGGAGCCUGAACCAGCCAAGCCGCGUGAGGGAAGAAGGUACAGCGUAUCGUAAACCUCUUUUGUCAGGGAACAAAGGCGGGGACUAGUCCCCGGAUGAGGGUACCUGAAGAAAAAGCAUCGGCUAACUCCGUGCCAGCAGCCGCGGUAAUACGGAGGAUGCGAGCGUUAUCCGGAUUUAUUGGGUUUAAAGGGUGCGCAGGCGGCCUGUUAAGUCAGCGGUAAAAGCCCGGGGCUCAACCCCGGCGAGCCGUUGAAACUGGCGGGCUGGAGUUGGAGAGAA